ensembl:lncRNA
UUUCAGUUUUUACUAUUGCCAAAAACACAUAAACAAAUUAUUUUAUUAGGUCCCAACUUUCAAUUUUUCCAUUUAGUCAUUCUUUUCUCCAUUUCUCGAUCACCAUAGAAAACUUUAUGUUUCUAACUCCCUUUGGCAUAAGAAUAAGAGAAAAGAUGCAUUACUAGAAUUGUUCCUUUGAGGGAGAGUAAGUAAAAGAUCACAGAAUUAGUAGUUUAGGGUUUAUAUAAAUUAACUGAAUUUGUCUUCAUCUCAACCAACCAACAAUAGUCUUAUCUGAAUGCUAAUGAAAAUUUUACUACCUGUGGGACUUCAUGCACACAAAUGUGUUUAGUUAAAUUUCAGGAAAGAAGUGUUUAAAUUAUCUUCUAUGAUCUUAAUUAGAUGGUGAAAAUAAAUCUCUAAUGCAUAGUUUAGGAAAACCCUGGUAAUGUCAAUUUUUCUAACUGGACAGGGCCAAGUAAUUCAUUAUAGUGCCCUUCUUGCCCAUCUGAACUUCAGCAAUCUGCCUAUGAAAAAUUGUAUCAAAGGAAAUGAAAAAGUUAUGUCUAAAUCCCUCCAGAACUAAGUUAUCUUAGUUAAUAGUUCUUUUAACCAGAUACAGUUGAAUUGAGUGUCCCUCUGGUAUUUGUUAAUUUUGCCUAUGUUCCAGCUUCUUACCACAGUGAUGUGGCCUGAAGAAAGGGCCAUGAGCAACAGGUCAGGAUAGUAGGAGCUUUGAGAUAGAGCUGCUUUCCCCACAUGAGCAUUUCCAUGACUGGUAGCAGCACUGAAGACUGCAAACCUUUAUGCAAUACUCUCAAUACCCCAUUGAUAUUAUGCACUUUAAUCAUUCCAAAGAAGCAAGAAUGCUGUAUAGUGAUGAUUCCUUCUUAAUGAAUAAUCCUAACUAUUUAGAAUAUUUACAUCCCUUUUUAUUUUCAAUAGCCAGCUUGGUAUAAGUGUUAUGAGAAUAUUUUCUAAAAGGACUGUAUAGUAGGACUUAAGGCUUCAAUGUAAUUGACUAUAAGGGGAAAUGAUUACACUUCAGCAAAUCAUUUUAGAAGCAUUAAAAUAUUUAGUUCACCUUGCUAAUCUGUAUUAUAUAGUUUUCUACAUAUAUAGGAUCUAUAAACCAGUGGUUCUUAAAGCAUAGUCCUCAGCUCACCAGCCAACAUCAGUAUCACCUGGAAACUAUUUAGAAAUGCAAAUUUGGGGGCCCUAGCCUAGACAUACUGAAUCAGAAACUCUGCAGUGGGGCCCAGCAAUCUGUUUUAACAGCCCCUCCAGGUGAUUCUGAUGCAUGCUAAAGUGUGAGAACCUCUGGUGUAAACUAUAUACAGUAAGGUCUAGAAAGGUUUUUUUCACUCAUACAGACACAGUUAUACAUUGUUCUUUACGUAAAUUCAGCUUAACCUGGUUAUCCAUAAUCAUUUAUUGGCAAUGAUAAUUUAUUCUCAGUGCUGCCUAUAGAAGUACAGUAUAUUUUAUGUACAUAUACAGUUAGUCUAGUUAUUGAUAAUUCAGUAAACUUAGUUUGGCAUUUUCCUACCACUUACUAAAAAGUUUACAUUGCAUGACUGAUUUAAAUAUAUAGGUGCAAUGUUUUAUAUUUCUUUUAAUUAUCAUGACAUUUAAGUAGCUACCAUAAUUGACGGGUGCUAAAGUCUCCUGUUUAUCCAUAAAAUGGGUAUGUUGUGGGCAGUGAUAAUACAAGCUCUCUUUUCAUUGCCUCUUCCUUUACCAGCAGACCACCGUUUUGGUCUGGCUAGACCAACUCUCAGAACAAAAUUAUUUAUCAUUCCUUGUAUUUACAUUUGUAUCUGAGAUAUUAAACAAGAUGGCUGGCCAGGUCAACAAAGCACCUUAUUUAAUUUCUUUUUUUAAUACUUAAAACUUCUUUAAAAGUAGCUUGCUUUGUAUGAGAACUGAUGCAGUAGAGAUAUAGCUAUGCUUGGAACUUAUUCUUCAGACAGGAGUUACUUACUAAAAUAAGUAUCAAACAAGACAAUGCAUCAUAUAAUUUGGGCAUUUCUCCCUUCUCAAUUGUAUGCAUCAUGGUAAAUAUAAACUAACCACAACAGAAGUAGAUUUAUUUAUGCAUUUUAAUCUUCCUGUGUAAUACAAUACCUCCAUAAUUGUUCUCAUCUUCCUCCCACUGUUUACUCAUUACCGAUUAAAUAACUCAUGAAAGAAAAAUGAACAUUUCAAAAUAAAAAUCAUUGUAUACUCACUUUAUAAAAAUUGCCACUACUGUCUUUACUUAAGACUAGCGGUGGAAGGUAAGUGGCUUACUCUACAAACUUUGGUGCUGGCAAAUACACAGGCAAACUGUUGGGAGAUGUUCUAGCUACAUUCCUCCUUUCUUGUUCCCUUUCCCCUCUUCCCCACUGUAUGGCAUAAUAUAUUUCUGUUCCCAAAGCAUUCUACCACAAUUCUAUUCGACUCCAACUUGUAAUAUUUCCUUUAAAAGCCCCGUGUUUACCCAUAUCAUCCCUGCUUUUUUUUUCGCAGAAGUAAUUUGAGAUAGUUUGUAAGGAUUGCUCAUUAAUAUUAUUUUAGCUAAUGAACCUCAGGACAAAAUACAUACACACACACACACAGCCACACACACAGCCACACACACACCAUCUCAGAUGUUUGAGAGUGAGUUUGGAAUCAGAAUAAUGUGCCCAAGAAAGAACUGUCCUGCACUGAAGUGUUUAUGGAUCCAGUAGCUACAAACUGAUUCCAAUGGCAUUGAACUGAGUUCUUUUGAUCUAAUGAAUGUAUCUGCUCACCUUGUUCCCUUCCUUCUAAUUGAUAAGCUCCAAAUAGUUCCUGCUCCUUUUCACAGCUUUUACUGAGUUUCGUUCACUUCUUUUACUUAGUCUUUUAAUACAUAUACUACAAAUAUUUCAUUAACCUAUUCUCAAGUGGUUUAGCUACCAUUCUGCCAUUGAAAUUUUUUAAUUUAAUUUUGUUUGCUUGAGCACACUGAUCAACCACUGAACUGCCUUCUUCCAUUGUCCUGCAGUGACAUAAGGGUUACAUUUUUGUGCAUAAGGCUUUCCUAGUUGGGAUUUCAGAGCACUGACACCAGAUGUUUUCAGUUUGUUCUCUGGGGGAAUUUCAUUUGCAUCUAUGUUUUUAGCUAUCUGUGAUAACUUGUUAAAUAUUAAAAAGAUAUUUUGCUUCUAUUGGAACAUUUGUAUACUCGCAACUAUAUUUCUGUAAACAGCUGCAGUCAAAAAUAAAACAAUGAAAGUUUUCA